rnacentral:rRNA from 1 species
UACAGAGGCCUCGAGCGUUAGGCGGAAUCACUGGGCUUAAAGCGUGUGUAGGUGGAUGCCUAAGUACCUUGUGAAAUCCCACGGCUUAACCGUGGAACUGCUGGGUAUACUGGGUGGCUUGAGCCACUCAGGGGCUACCGGAACAAACGGUGGAGCGGUGAAAUGCGUAGAUAUCGUUUGGAACGCCAAUGGUGAAAACAGGUAGCUGGGGGUGUGCUGACACUGAGACACGAAAGCCAGGGGAGCAAACGGG